rnacentral:rRNA from 1 species
UACGAAGGGGGCUAGCGUUGUUCGGAAUUACUGGGCGUAAAGGGCGUGUAGGCGGUCCGCUAAGUCAGGUGUGAAAGGCCUGGGCUCCAACCCAGGAAAUGCGCCUGAGACUGACGGACUUGAGUCCGGGAGAGGAUGGUGGAACUCCCAGUGUAGAGGUGAAAUUCGUAGAUAUUGGGAAGAACACCCGUGGCGAAGGCGGCCAUCUGGACCGGUACUGACGCUAAUGCGCG